rnacentral:rRNA from 1 species
AGUCAAGUGAAUAAGCGUACACGGUGGAUGCCUUGGCAGCCAGAGGCGAUGAAGGACGUUGUAGCUUGCGAUAAGCUUCGGGAGGUAGCAAAACAACCUUUGAUCCGGAGAUUUCCGAAUGGGGAAACCC